rnacentral:rRNA from 1 species
UGGGGAAUAUUGCACAAUGGGCGCAAGCCUGAUGCAGCCAUGCCGCGUGUAUGAAGAAGGCCUUCGGGUUGUAAAGUACUUUCAGCGGGGAGGAAGGGAGUAAAGUUAAUACCUUUGCUCAUUGACGUUACCCGCAGAAGAAGCACCGGCUAACUCCGUGCCAGCAGCCGCGGUAAUACGGAGGGUGCAAGCGUUAAUCGGAAUUACUGGGCGUAAAGCGCACGCAGGCGGUUUGUUAAGUCAGAUGUGAAAUCCCCGGGCUCAACCUGGGAACUGCAUCUGCUACUGGCAAGCUUGAGUAUCGUAGAGGGGGGUAGAAUUCCAGGUGUAGCGGUGAAAUGCGUAGAGAUCUGGAGGAAUACCGGUGGCGAAGGCGGCCCCCUGGACGAAGACUGACGCUCAGGUGCGAAAGCGUGGGGAGCAAACAGG